GUGGGGAAUAUUGGACAAUGGGGGCAACCCUGAUCCAGCAAUGCCGCGUGUGUGAAGAAGGCCUUCGGGUUGUAAAGCACUUUUAUCAGGAAAGAAAUCCUAUCGGCCAAUACCCGGUGGGGAUGACGGUACCUGAGGAAUAAGCACCGGCUAACUUCGUGCCAGCAGCCGCGGUAAUACGAAGGGUGCAAGCGUUAAUCGGAAUUACUGGGCGUAAAGGGUGCGUAGGCGGCCUGUUAAGUCCGAUGUGAAAGCCCUGGGCUCAACCUGGGAAUGGCAUUGGAGACUGGCGGGCUGGAGUGCGGUAGAGGGUGGUGGAAUUCCCGGUGUAGCGGUGAAAUGCGUAGAGAUCGGGAGGAACAUCCGUGGCGAAGGCGGCCACCUGGACCAGCACUGACGCUGAGGCACGAAAGCGUGGGGAGCAAACAGGAUUAGAAACCCUUGUAGUCC
rnacentral:rRNA from 1 species